UCUGACUCAAGGAACAGAAUAUAAUAUAACCAUCUGAACAAAGGGUUUGACAAAUCUGUGUGGGAGGGGUAGAAAGAAAAAGGCCAACCACAUUCAAAUGGGCGUGGAGGUUUCACACAGUUUCACCCCCCCCACUUCUCAAUCCUGUCAUUCAGCAACUUAUAUGACACAGGGACAGGUCGGCCUCGGCUUGUCAUUCCCACUACAGAGGCAGGAGCAGUGUUUGGAUGAGCACAUGUGGAAUUCUUGACUAAACGAAAAGAAAAGAAAACCCUCAUGUGGCAGGUGUCACCUUAAACUGGGGACAAGAGGACGAUUCACCUGCCAACUAUAAUAUCAAGGCUUAAAUAUUAUCCUGUAAAACACUGGAUAAACCGAAGAAACGCUUGUGGACUGAGACUGAGGAGCGGAUUCGGUGCAGUGCCGUUUAAACUGGAUCAGAGAUGAACCAAAUACCUCAGACGUCUGUAGCAAUGGAUAUGGAACCACUGAACACCACGCCAGGUUCGGCUGAAGAUAGAGUAGAGGUCUGCAGCAAUGAAGGAGACGCCGUGUCCUGCUGUGAUGACAGAUACCACAGGAAACUGGCCGUCUGCAGCAUCAUCUGUGGGAUCUCCUGCAUCGGGAUCAAAGCACUGAUACAUUCAGUCAAGGCUGAGAAAACAGCGGAUCCAGAGAAAGCAGCAAUGUUUUUAAGACAGGCAAGAAAAUUAAGCAUCUGGUCCAUCGCAGUGUGGCUUUGCUGUUUGGC